GACGAACGCUGGCGGCGUGCUUAACACAUGCAAGUCGAACGGUGAAGCGCCUUCCUUUUUGGUGGGUGUGGAUGAGUGGCGAACGGGUGAGUAACACGUGAGUAACCUGCCCCCUUCUUCUGGAUAACCGCAUGAAAGUGUGGCUAAUACGGGAUAUUCUGGGUCUGUCGCAUGAUGGGUCUGGGAAAGAUAUUGUUUCGGUGGGGGAUGGGCUCGCAGCCUAUCAGCUUGUUGGUGGGGUGAUGGCCUACCAAGGCGGUGACGGGUAGCCGGCCUGAGAGGGUGGACGGUCACACUGGGACUGAGACACGGCCCAGACUCCUACGGGAGGCAGCAGUGGGGAAUAUUGCACAAUGGGCGCAAGCCUGAUGCAGCGACGCCGCGUGAGGGAUGGAGGCCUGCGGGUUGUGAACCUCUUUCGCCAGUGAAGCAGGCCUGCCUCGUUUGUGGGUGGGUUGACGGUAGCUGGAUAAGAAGCGCCGGCUAACUACGUG
rnacentral:rRNA from 1 species